rnacentral:rRNA from 1 species
GACAGAGGCCUCAAGCGUUAGGCGGAAUCACUGGGCUUAAAGCGUGUGUAGGCGGGUCGUUAAGUACCUUGUGAAAUCCCACGGCUCAACCGUGGAACGGCUGGGUAUACUGGCGAUCUUGGGCCAUCUAGGGGCAGCUGGAACAAGCGGUGGAGCGGUGAAAUGCGUAGAUAUCGCUUGGAACGCCGAAGGUGAAAACAGGUCGCUGGGAGUGCGCCGACGCUGAGACACGAAAGCCGGGGAGCAAACGGG